GGCAUCCCUGCUAUAAGCAAGUGGCAUGGUUGCCUGGGUGAAGAGUGUGUUUCAGCCCUGAGAUGGUUUGAGGUGAAGACCUAGAUUUUCAUUGAUCAGUCCUUUGAUUUUUCCAGUUAUCCUUGAAAUUGCUUUGUAUUAUGUUUUUUGGGAAAUGAGAUAUGCCCAGGAUUUUUUUUUCCCCAUCCUGGGGCUUGGACUCAGGGCCUGAGCACUG